UUCUCCAAGGUUUGACUCAGGUGCCUGCUGGGGACAGGGAGAGGGCGUGGCCAGUGAGACCGUAGUGGCUGGGGGGAUCAGGAACGAAAGGAAAGCUAGGAUUAAAGUUUCAGUAGCCUGCCUCGAAAGUGCGCCGGCACCAUGUGGGCCAGGAUUCCUGGGCGCUGAGUAAGGCAGGCAUCCCGGCUUGGAUGAGGAUGGCAGAGGCAACGGCCGCUGACAGGAGGUGGGCUGGGGGUGGGGGAACCAGGGCUCCCCACCACUUCCUCCCGCCAUACGAGCCCCUCCCCCAUCGCUGGCCAGGCACCCAACACAUGGGGGCUCAGAGAGCUGACGGACACCAGAGCCGGGGAGCACACGACACUGCCUUCCCUGCACAGCCCGCUGCUCUUCUUCCUGAGCUUCCCGCUAAUGCACCUGAGAAGGCAGUGGAAAAUGGCCAAAGUACUUGGGCCCCCGUCACCCAGAUGGAGUUCCAGGCUUCAAGCUGUGGCAUGGCCCAGCCCUGGCUAUGGUGGCCAUUUGGGGAGGGAACCAGCAGAUGAAGAUCUUUCUCUCUGCCUUUCAAAUGAUGAGAGUUCUAGAUGGGGAAGCAACCAGCAUGGAUCAGCAGCCUGAGUCCAUACUCCCUAAGCAUUCUCAGCAGGGCUAUGUAAUCCAUCUGACAACAGAAGGUGAGCAGCAGAGAUGUGAGCUCCCGCCUGGACCGCGCUGUGUCCCUGUGCAUCCACCCUCCACCUCCCUCCGGCUAACUGAGAUGGCGAGGACUGGAACAUCUUUGGAGACCAUGAUCAAGUGGCAGAGCUCCCAUCAGCCUGAUUUCCUGAGUGACUGCCUAGAGCAGAGAGCCCUACCAAGUUCUCCUCUAGGACAUAAGAAUUUGUUUCCAUGUGUCACUUUGAAGUCCUGUGUUCUCCAGAAUUUAUCCUGCCUAAUACAACAGGAUUCUCAGAGAGUCAAAUCAAGUCUCCCACCGCUACCUUCUUAACUACUUCCGUGGGACGUGAAGAGCAUGGAAGAAACAGCUCGAUUGUCUGCAGAACAAACAAGCCUGUGAGAGAAGCUCUGGGUUUUCACAAGCAGCUCAGGAGGAGAAGGAGAAGGAGGCCCCUCAGAAUGUGGAAACAUGACCAGAGUCACAGAUUCCCAGUGGCGGGAAGAACUGAGCAUCACAACAUCUAAUGUUUGGGGCCGGCGCCACGGCGUAACGGGUAAAGGCACUGCCUGCAGUGCCAGCAUCCCAUAUAGUGCGGCUUCAAGUCCUGCCUGCUCCACUUCCAAUCCAGCUCUCUGCUACAGCCUGGGAAAGCAGUAGAAGAUGGCCCAACUGCUUGGGCCCCUGCACCCACGUGGGAGACCCAGAAGAAUCUCCAGGCUUCUGGCUUCGGAUCGGCACAGCUCUGGCCGUUGUGGCCAUCUCAGGAGUGAACCAGCGGAUGGAAGACCUCACUUUCUCUCUGCCUCCGCCUCUGUAACUCUGUCUUUCAACUAACUAAAUAAAUCUUUUUUAAAAAUCU